GGAGGAUUCAAGCGUUAUCCGGAUUUAUUGGGUUUGAAGGGAGCGUAGGCCGUCUUAUAAGCGUGUUGUGAAAUGUCGGGGCUCAACCUGGGCAUUGCAGCGCGAACUGUGAGACUUGAGUGCAGUUGAGGCAGGCGGAAUUCGUGGUGUAGCGGUGAAAUGCUUAGAUAUCACGAAGAACUCCGAUUGCGAAGGCAGCCUGCUAAGCUGCAACUGACAUUGAGGCUCGAAAGUGUGGGUAUCAAACAGGAUUAGAUACCCUGGA
rnacentral:rRNA from 1 species